CCUACGGGGAGCAGCAGUGGGGAAUAUUGGACAAUGGGGGAACCCUGAUCCAGCCAUGCCGCGUGUGUGAAGAAGGCCCUCGGGUUGUAAAGCACUUUCAGUGAGGAAGAACGCCUGGUGGUUAAUACCCAUCAGGAAAGACAUCACUCACAGAAGAAGCACCGGCUAACUCCGUGCCAGCAGCCGCGGUAAUACGGAGGGUGCGAGCGUUAAUCGGAAUUACUGGGCGUAAAGCGCGCGUAGGUGGCUUGAUAAGCCGGUUGUGAAAGCCCCGGGCUCAACCUGGGAACGGCAUCCGGAACUGUCAAGCUAGAGUGCAGGAGAGGAAGGUAGAAUUCCCGGUGUAGCGGUGAAAUGCGUAGAGAUCGGGAGGAAUACCAGUGGCGAAGGCGGCCUUCUGGACUGACACUGACACUGAGGUGCGAAAGCGUGGGUAGCAAACAGGAUUAGAUACCCGGGUAGUC
rnacentral:rRNA from 1 species